UUAAAUCUCAUCCCCCUUGGCACUCAAGGCACUACGGCCAUGGAGCAGCGAAUAUAGCGGGGAACGGUGGACCCACCUGCAUGUCGUUUGAACAAAGUGGCGCAGAAUAGAAUCAGAUACUGGAGCCGAGUCCCGAGCUGUUCAUAUGAACAGCCCGAUUGAUCUGCAGCAGAUAUCGAAUCCAGCUGUUCAAAACAAAUCUGCUAUUUUGUCGUCAUCGUAACGGCCCUCUGCUUUUGUCUCUGCAGAUAAUUACGGGGACCACCCGAUCACGCACCACCACCCGGGCUACUCCCUAACAGCCUUAACCACGAAUAAAUAUAUAGUCGAUUAAUUUAUUCGACGGGAAGGAAUGUACGUAACAGUCGAUCGAAACGUAACACCCACCCACCCACCACCGUCCCUUCCGCAUUGAUAUAUAUAUAGGACAAGGGGAAGAAGAACGGAUCUCUACGCACUCAAACGAAGCAAGCAAUGAAUUCAGAAGGAACGGAAGAGAAUUCGAGACGAGGAGGAGGAAGAGAAAGAGAGGGAAAGGUGGCUCUGAUGCUGGGGAGCAUCGUGGAUUCUAUAAAGGCAAAGGUGAUGAAAUCUCUGAAGAAGAAGAAUAAGAAGAAGAGUAAGAUGUACGCGAGGAUGGAGAAGAGCGGCAGCUUGAAGGUGAAGAUCCGCAGCUUGCGGGCGCAGCGCAUCAUCGAUCAAACGCUCAAGGCGGCCGAUCGCCCCGGCAAGAUCUCCAUCUCUUCCUGAAGUUGCUCUCAUUUUCUCCGCCCCCCCUCGUCACUUUAGAUCUCCUAACUAGUGCUGUACAACGAUCUCAUUCAUUCAUUCAUUCAUUCUUUCAUCGUGUCCAUCGUUACAUGUGUCGCUAUGGAAUGCAUCCCUUCUCCGAUCGCUUUUUUGUAAGAGUAGCAAUAAGAUGUUGCCUAAUUUUUGACAGGAAAAAUUUUAAAAAAAUCCUCUUAUUCUCCAGGCUGUUUCGUUUUAUAUUGCGUUUAUGUACCUAUUUAUUCAUCUAUUUUUUUGGACUUUCCCUCCGUAUACACUCUCCUUUCCGUUGCGAAAUGCAGGAUUGAAACCAAAAAUGUUGCUCGGCUUCACUUUUCUUUUAAAUUAAAUUUAUAGCUACCACAAAUUCUAGAAAUUAAAAUUUCACCGGCUGCCUGUAAUAAGCACUCUGAAAAGAAUUAUCAAGUGACAAAUAAAGAUUUGAUAAUUCUAUAAUCGACCAACUCGUCUCGGGCAGCAAAUAUGGUAGGAAUCCUUGACACUAUUUAUUGGUCCCAAAGAGCAAACCUAUGACUUAAGCAAAAAAAAAACAAAAAAAAGAUCAAUCCCACGAUAACUUGUGAAAAUCUUCCAAAAAAAUUACAAAAUUGUACGUGCCCUUAGAUUGUAGCUCAUAGCUCUUGAUUCUACUAGCUGCACCGAUGGUCUUCCACAUCAAUUUUUUUUCCAAUUUUAUCCACCAAAAAAAAUUGUUUAUUUUAAAAUUUUAAAAUCCCAGUUAAUUCCUAGGGCGGGAAACCUCCUCUCCCUAGUUUUUAUUUUUAAUCACGGCUAUCUAAAAGAAAAGUUUCCUGCGUUUCGUUUGUGUUUUUAAUUUUUUUUUUAUUCAUCAUCUAUUGAUGGCCAAUCACGUGAAGACCAAUAGAAGACGCCUUCCCACGUGAAGUCCAUUUGCUGCUUUUUAACCGCUCGUCUUCCAUCAACGCUUUCCCUCCAACUACGAAAAAAAAAUCCCCUCCCCCCUUUCACCAACCCAACACGAGACCCCUCCGUCGAAACCCCAAUCCCACCUUCACCUCUGUCCCCGCUCGUCGAUCCGGAAUCAAGCCAAGCCUCGUGAUCGAUUCCAAUCUCUUCCCAUUUCUCAUGGCGAUUUCUCGACGAGCGUCGACGAACACCGGAUGAGCAUCGCGAUUGCUUCUUGGCCGCGAACCUUUCCACGAAAACCCCUAUGUAUGACAUUUCCUAUGCCCUUGAAGCUAAGGAAUGAAGGCCAUCAAACUGCAAAUCAAUUUAGUGGACAAUUAUUGUGGAUAUCCUUUGGUAAUUACCAGUUGCCACUCUUCUCUGCACACCAGUAUAAAAGAAGAUAGUAUCUACGGCAGGUCCAAGGUUGCAGAUUACAGUAAAUCUGAAUAUCCAACUUUUACACAUAUAUUGGUGAGAAGUCCCUCCAACCAAAAAUUUCAGUUUUUGGAUUUUUCACAGCUACAACUUCUUUAGUAAUUUUUUUCUUUUUUCAGCUUCAGCUUUCAUAUUCUUUGACAAACUACAUUUGUAAGGAAAAUCCUGCAUCUUUUUUCUUGGAGGCUAGGAGGGGACUUACAUGUAUUGAUUAUCUUGAAUAUUAACUUAAUGCUUUGAAAUUUUUACCAAAUCUUUUUGAUUGGGAGCUUGAUAUGUCAAGGCCCAAUUAUACAGUAAGGUGAUGAUGAUGUCAAUGCUAUUAGUAUGCCAGCGAAUAGCAUGACUUUAACACUUUAAGUAAUGCACAUACAUUAACAAGUUUUCUUUAACAAUUCUCUUCGUGCAAAUCAACACUAUAAAGGCUGGAAAUUGGAUAUGUGGCUUGUGGCUUUUAUAUUCUGAACCAUUCACUAGUUGUAGUUGGUCGUGUUUGGUAUGCAGAUUUUUGGAGUUAAUUGGGGCAAUUUUCCUCAAAGGGCAAAUCUGAACAUCUCCCAAGGAAAAAAAAACUGAAAGCCUCUCAUUUAUAAAAUCUUGUGUUCGCCAAACUGCCAUGAAUACGUUGUUUGUAGAUAUUGGUUAAUAAUAUAUCUAAUGGUUGCUCUUUUUCUGUAAUUCCUCCCAAGUGUCUUAGGUAGCUUUUAUCAUAUAAGGGAAAAUACACAAAGGGCUCUUCAUGCUUUCAGGUUUCAUUUGUUGGUGUGCAGUAUCAUUUUGAAAUUUUCAGAAAUCUAAGAUCCUGAUGAAGCAGGAAGAAGCAAAGACAUGGAGAAAAUAUUUUCCUAUAUGUGUUCUAUUUGGUGCUUCUAGCAAAUCUUUCCUCUUUACCAGGUAUGCUAGUAAUUAUCCCCAGAGGGGUACAGAAUUGUCCUGAAUAGCACCAUGGAUCCAAUAAAUCCAUACCUGGUAAUGGCUCUUGUCAUCUAGAACAUUCUUAUAUUCUUACUAUUUCUUAGUGAAUUUGAGGCAUUCACAGAGCAUAUGGAAGCCUUAAUCAAGGUUAAAUUAUUAGUGUGUAUUGGUACACAUCGACCGUACUGGAUCACACCAGUUACUGAUGCUAGUAUAACCCCCAUACUGGUAUGAUACCAAUGCUAGUAUAACCCCCAUAUUGUGUGUUGAUACUACCAUAUAGCACCCAUCCAUGACCGUAGUGCUGUAGUGGUAAGGCAUCAGUAGGGGUGCCAGUACCAAUACUUCAAACCUUGCCUUUGAUGACCAACCUAUACUUAAGCAAAUGUGGCAAUGGCCAAAAAUGAGAAGAGAGGUAAGUUGAUGGAAGUUGAGGUUCAAGUUUGUUACAUAACGAAAAGUAUUAUCUGAUUUAAAUUCUUUAAAAGGCUUUGGUGGUGGAGUUAUGAAAUUUGUUCCUUCAGAUGUCAAGUACAGAAAGGUAAUGGGCAAAUUUUUGUCAUUCUAUUAGUAAUCAUGUCAUAAUUGCUAUCCCUAUUAAUAUAUUUUAGUUCACAAAGCAACAAAAGCUAUCGGAUCAAAGUGAAUAUAUCUCAAUAUCAUCCAUGACAUAUGGUCCAUUUUAUAAUAUGAGAAUGCUUCAUGAUGAAAAUUACUUGUCAGCAUUUGUCUCAAAUAUUAUUACGGAUAUAUGCAUUUGUUUUACAUUGUAUAUUUGUAUUAUUUGAAUCUGAAUCGUUAAUAUUUGUGCCUCAGGUGAUUGUUGAUACUGUUGAAAAACCUCUUUAUUUCAUGUGACAUGCGGGACUUUUGCCAAGCAUGAGAGUUAUUUGAAGUUUGGCUUCCCAAAGAAUGUGUUGCAGGAAAACAAAAAUCAUUCAUACAGAAUAUCACUUUGGAUUCAUGUUUACCUUAAGAUAAAACCAAAUGAUGUGAAAGAACAGAAAUUAAAUCCACCAAAUUGCCAUGUUUUAACUCUAGAUAAAACAUUCUUGCCUCUUUUUUGAUCUAAUAUCUGGUACUGGUUAUUAAAACAAAUGUCCUUGCAUUUGUACCAAAAAGGAAAAAAUCCACAAUCUGGUGUUGUCAUUGCUAUUUAUUGUGAAGAUGUUCAGCCCCCGUAUUUAUUUCUUUAUUUUGUGAAGUAUGGUGAGAAUGCUGCCUUUCAGUUUUGAACUAAAUGGUUUCCUUAAUUUAUAAUGAUUUACCAAAUGUAUAUUAUGCAUUAUAUAAGAAGUCUACUUUGUUUUGCAGAUGGAUACCAACUACUGGGUUUUAUCAGAUGCUAGGGUCCAAAUUGCAGGCCUGGGUUAUGAGACUAAUUAUGCAAAUCAAGGCUGCAGUUCCACAGGAGGGGUUUGCUAGGCCUAAUAUAGAGGAUUACUGAUGGGAAAUAUGUGCUUCCCUUAUCGUCUAAACUCCAUCAUGUGGUAGCAUUGAAGUUCCCUCCAGCACAACCCUACUCGAUAAUGAAUGCAAGGGAUGAUAUCAGAUCCAGUUCAG